rnacentral:lncRNA from 1 species
UGCUAGUGUGGAAAAUUAUGAAAAGGAUGUCAUCUAUAACAAUAUAUAAAGGGGAUAGGAGAGUUUGGGCUGACUUUUUGUUUGGUCUAUUUUACCCUUCACUAUUAUUUGAAAUAACACUUAACAAUAAUACCAACAAUACCCUUGAUUUUUUUAUUAGCAACAAAAAUUUUUUAUUAACAAACUCACAAUAACAUAAGACAUAU